rnacentral:tRNA from 1 species
GAGGGUAUAGCUCAGUGGUAGAGCGUGUGCUUAGCUUUCAUGAGGUCCUGGGUUCAAUCCCCAGUACCUCCA